GACGAACGCUGGCGGCGUGCUUAACACAUGCAAGUCGAACGAUGAACUUGGAGCUUGCUCUGGGGGAUUAGUGGCGAACGGGUGAGUAACACGUGAGUAACCUGCCCUGGACUCUGGGAUAACUUCGAGAAAUCGGAGCUAAUACCGGAUAGGACCUUGCACCGCAUGGUGUGGGGUGGAAAGUUUUUCGGUUUGGGAUGGACUCGCGGCCUAUCGGCUUGUUGGUGAGGUAAUGGCUCACCAAGGCGUCGACGGGUAGCCGGCCUGAGAGGGUGACCGGCCACACUGGGACUGAGACACGGCCCAGACUCCUACGGGAGGCAGCAGUGGGGAAUAUUGCACAAUGGGCGCAAGCCUGAUGCAGCAACGCCGCGUGCGGGAUGACGGCCUUCGGGUUGUAAACCGCUUUUAGUAGGGAAGAAGCCUUCGGGUGACGGUACCUGCAGAAAAAGGACCGGCUAACUACGUGCCAGCCGCCGCGUAAAAC
rnacentral:rRNA from 1 species